AAACUUUCAACAACGGAUCUCUUGGUUCUGGCAUCGAUGAAGAACGCAGCGAAAUGCGAUAAGUAAUGUGAAUUGCAGAAUUCAGUGAAUCAUCGAAUCUUUGAACGCACAUUGCACCCUCUGGUAUUCCGGGGGGUAUGCCUGUUCGAGCGUCAUUG
rnacentral:rRNA from 1 species